GAUCCUGGCUCAGGAUGAACGCUAGCUACAGGCUUAACACAUGCAAGUCGAGGGGCAGCAUGACCUAGCAAUAGGUUGAUGGCGACCGGCGCACGGGUGAGUAACACGUAUCCAACCUACCGGUUAUUCCGGGAUAGCCUUUCGAAAGAAAGAUUAAUACCGGAUAGUAUAACGAGAAGGCAUCUUCUUGUUAUUAAAGAAUUUCGAUAACCGAUGGGGAUGCGUCCCAUUAGUUUGUUGGCGGGGUAACGGCCCACCAAG
rnacentral:rRNA from 1 species